CUCUUCUCUCAAAUGCUGUAAAACCCAAUAAACCUCAAAAACAAUAAUAUCAUCAAACUUAUAACCCAUAAAUUAACUACUACAACUACAGUAUCCAAAAUCUAUGCAGAUAAUUCGAAUCAAAUCAAAGUUGCCCCCAACUCAUUUCCAGUGUUAUAAAAGUCGAUAGGCAGACCUAGGCAAUGAGGGAGGCGCCUAGUGCCUUAGGCGUUUUCCUAGGCAGACUAGGCAUUUUCGCAGUCUUAUUUAUUUAUUUUUCUAUUAUGAAUAUUUGUUAUACUAUACAAUAGAGUAGAUGUACUUUUUUAUAUUUUACAUGGAAAAUUACCGCAAAAAAAAAGACAAUCUUUUAAGGCUUAAAAAAAAUCAUUUCAAGUAUUGGUGAGCUUCAAAGUAGAGUUUUUUUAUAACACUGCUUAUUUCCAGCAUUAAUUAUAAGUGAAAUGAGAAUGCAAGGAAUAUAACCCAUAAAUUAACUACUGCUACUACACUUUCAACUCAAUUCAUAGCUAUCCCCAAUUCAUUCCAGCAUUAAUUAUGAGUAAAAUGAAAAUGGUGCAAAUAUAAUUACCGCUUUAUCCCCAGAAACCGGCAAUCCAUCGAAAAUUCCCAUCUGUAGCUAACUGAUUGCUUCACAGAAAAAGUUCGUUCAACUGAAAAAAGAGAACAAAAUUAAUCAAAUGAAUUGUAAUUGGGGUUCAACCAAAUUGGAAUUUUCUACUGGAUUGCGUACCAGAAAGAGAAAAUGAGAAGGAUUGGAUCUGCGAAAUUAAAAAGGGGGAUCCAAUUUGGGUCUCAAUAAAGAUUCAAGAGAUCAUGGAAAUAUAUCCAUGUAUGUAUAUAAAAAUAGAGAGAGGAAAACGAUUAAAAAUGAGAUUUUUCCACGGCGGAUAGCUACAGAGUUCCACAGAAGAGAGUAAAAUAGAAAUGAUAUUCAAACCCAAUUACGGGGUGUUCGGCAAUGACUUG
rnacentral:lncRNA from 1 species